GAACACCCCCGGGCUGCAUUGGAACUGGCUAGCUUGAGAGAAAGGAGGGAAAGUGGAUUCCUUGUGGAGCGGUGAAAUGAUUAAAUAAAUAGAAGAACACCCGUGGGGAAAGCGGCUGUCUGGGCUGUAUCUGACGCUGAAGCUCGAAAGUAGGGGAAACAAAAAGGAUUAAUUACCCUGGUAGCCCCCACCGAAAACGAUGAGUGUAAGGGGGUGGAGGGUUCCCCCCCUUCCGUGCCGCAGCUAACGCAUUAAGCGCGCCGCCUGGGGAGUACGGGCGCAAGGUGAAAACAUCAAAGGAUUUGACGGGGCCCCGCACAAGCGGUGAACCUUGUGGUUUAAUUCAAACCAACCCGAAAAACCUAACAAGGCUUUGAUAAACCAUGGGAAUACGAUACAUGUAGGGCCCCCUUCAGGGACGUAGUGAUGGGGGAUGACUGCUUGUCGUCCGUUCUGGGAGAGAUAGGUUGAGUUAAAUCACGCAACGAGUGCCUUACCUUAUUUUUAGUUGCCGCCAUUCAGUUGGACAGUCUAGUACGACUGACAGUCAGAAACAGGACGAAGGAAGGGAUGAACGACAAAUCAUUCUGGCCCUCCAGGACCUGAUGUACUGCGUGCUGCUACGAUUGGCUGGAACGAG
rnacentral:rRNA from 1 species